rnacentral:misc_RNA from 1 species
GGUCAGCAGAAGAAACUUACUUCAGAAACUUUAGUGUCCAAAGUACAAUUAUUUUGUACAAAAGAUAAUAAGAGAGCCUAACUCAGCUAAAAGGGUUGCAAAAGACUGUUAAAGACUAAGGAAACCAAUCUCAAAGAUAAAAGAUUCCUAUUAACAUGAAGCCAAUAUAUUGCUUCAAGUAAGAAUGAAAGGCCUAACAAGCUACCAGAACCCAUUAAAAUUACCAAACUCAGCUUAGCUUAGAGUGGCUAUUUUAACUGAUCAGAUUCUAAGCCCUAAGAUUCUUGUCUUAUUUAGAGAUUUAACUAAAGCCAUGGUUAGUCCUUCCUACAGAGCCUGAUAAUGCAAUAUAAAUUAUUGCCUAACUGCAAGCCACCAGGCAUCAUUGAUCCUGCCUACUUAUUAAAAUUUUCCAAUUGUCACAGAUUCUUGCUAAGGCAUAUGCUACAUCACCAAGUUUCCUAUCUCUACUCACUCCUCUCAUAUUAAUACACUCAAUUCAACCUUCAUAGU